CUACGGGAGGCUGCAGUGAGGAAUAUUGCACAAUGGGGGGAACCCUGAUGCAGCAACGCCGCGUGGAGGAUGACGCAUUUCGGUGUGUAAACUCCUUUUAUAUGUCAAGAAAAUGACGGUAGCAUAUGAAUAAGCACCGGCUAACUCCGUGCCAGCAGCCGCGGUAAUACGGAGGGUGCAAGCGUUACUCGGAAUCACUGGGCGUAAAGGACGCGUAGGCGGGUUGGAAAGUCAGGUGUGAAAUCCUACAGCUUAACUGUAGAACCGCACUUGAAACUUCUAAUCUAGAGUAUGGGAGGGGGAGAUGGAAUUAGUGGUGUAGGGGUAAAAUCCGUAGAUAUCACUAGGAAUACCUAAAGCGAAGGCGAUCUCCUGGAACAUUACUGACGCUAAGGCGUGAAAGCGUGGGGAGCAAACAGGAUUAGAUACCCUUGUAGUC
rnacentral:rRNA from 1 species